rnacentral:rRNA from 1 species
CACCGCGGUUAUACGAGAGGCCCAAGUUGACAGACAGCGGCGUAAAGGGUGGUUAGGGAGACACAUCAACUAAAGCCGAAGGCCGUCAAGGCCGUGAUACGCCCCUUCGAUGGCACGAAGACCAACUACGAAAGUGGCUUUACUUAGCCUGACCCCACAAAAGCUGAGGAA